CCUCGCUUUCGAUCAACGGUUGCUCCACGAUCUUUCGUCGGAUGCAAAACGGUCGGUUCCUGUGUUGCAUACCUAUCGAGAUGGAAAUCGGUCCCCUUCGGUCGUCCCUUUCAUCCUCGCGUCCUCACGGAUGCUCGGUUGGACUCGACGGAAGGGCUCGUUCUCCACGGACGUCUCACGAAGAUCGUGCCGAUGGACCUCGAGCCACUUCUCGUUCUCUCGGAUGCGGAAAAUCGCCCAUGGGCGUGGGUCAUCGGCCCUCGGUCCCAAACGUCGAAGCGUCGGUCGCUUCACACCGGAACGACGCUCUCGCCUUGUCCUUGAUCGAGCGGUGCCCUCUCGGGCUACCACGAGGGAUCAUGCUCGGCGGACGUCGUGAAGGAACGCUACCUGGUUG
rnacentral:misc_RNA from 1 species